GGAGCCGCAGGGCUUAAUCCCGCGCGGCUCAGAGAUGGGUUUCUGGACUCGCGAAGCAGCUGCAACAAGGCAUCACUCACUGUAUAAGUAUUUCCAUUUCUGAGAGCAAAAGGAAGAACUUAAGCGGGCGGCACUUGGAGUGUAAAUUGCUUUGUAGUAUUUAAAGGCAGAAUGGAUCCUGGGCAGCCGAGCUGAUCAUGAGGUUCCUGAGGCCUCCUAGCCAUGCUUCCUGUGCAGCCUAUGGAACUCAACAAACCGGCAGGACUUCCUGUGAAAUCAUGACCACCAUGUGCUCUUUCAGCCUCUAUCAGUUCCUACCUCUAAGCACCUGAGAGCCAAAGCAAACCACAGGAAACCACAGGUACUAACUCUUUUAGACCUGAUGAAGUGUCUCCCAAAUACAGUCUGGCAUGGCCUUUGGAGUCAGACUGGAACUACAGCAUUGACUCUUCCGGAACUCCAGCUUACUGACUACAGAUCUUGGAACUUUUCAGCUUCCACAACCAUAAUGAAAGCCAAGCAUAUUCCAUCAUUUCCUAAAACCAAGAUAGAGCACAUAUGGGAACUUGUGAAAUAAGGAUGCCCUGCGGUUGUUUUCAGGACUGAAGACAACAGCUCCACGAUGAAACCAAAGCACAAAGAGAGAAAGAAAAGAAAGAGAAAAAAGGAAGAAAGAAAAGAAAGAUGAAAGAAAGAAAGAGAAAGAA
rnacentral:lncRNA from 1 species